rnacentral:rRNA from 1 species
UGGGCUUGACAUGUCCGGAAUUCUGCAGAGA